UGGAUUAUAAACGUAUCAAUUAGAUGCCCCAAUGAUCUAAAGGUACAUUUUCUUCUUUUCUACCUUAAUUUAUCAUUACACCUUUUGGUUUGUUUACAAGAUUUAUCAGUCAACAGGAGUGAUGUUGGAUGUUGCAAUGAUCUGAUUAGAGAUAUUUAUUUGUUUUGUAUUAAUAAAAUAGUAUGUUGUCAGAUUGAUUGUAUUUGCUUCAGAAGUGAAGCUUUAAUAAAAUCUAUGAAGAAAACCUAAGAACAUGCAGAUAUGUUGACAUUGAUACAAAUGCCAAUGCAAUUAUGCUUGUUGGGAAGGGAAUGAAUCGUCAAGGUCAAAAGAUAUUGCAACCGAAGCCAAAGAAGUUCUAACAGUGACAAGGAAUCUGGAUUUGAAAGUGAGAAAGCUGGAAAACCACUGAAAUAUGUGGCUGCAUAUGAUAUGAUGGUAUGUUUCUAUGAAAACAUGAGUUCAUACUUCAACAUAUAAAAAAAUUGUUAUGUUUUCCCUACCUUAAAAAGCAUGGUCAUUUCAUGUUGUAUUUUGUAUUGAACAGUAGGUAUGAGUAGAUUCUAGUAUUACGUUUACUCUAUUCUUGUACAAUUAUGGAAUGUUACUUUUAUCAUUUGUUAAAAUGCAAGGAUAAAUGGUAACUUGAAAUACAUACUUUUCAAGCUUGGCUCA